rnacentral:rRNA from 1 species
UUAAGUUAUUAAGGGCGCACGGUGGAUGCCUUGGCACUAAAAGCCGAUGAAGGACGUUACUAACGACGAUAUGCUUUGGGGAGCUGUAAGUAAGCUUUGAUCCAGAGAUUUCCGAAUGGGGAAACCCAGCAUGAGUUAUGUCAUGUUAUCGAUAUGUGAAUACAUAGCAUAUCAGAAGGCACACCCGGAGAACUGAAACAUCUUAGUACCCGGAGGAAGAGAAAGAAAAUUCGAUUCCCUUAGUAGCGGCGAGCGAAACGGGAAGAGCCCAAACCAACAAGCUUGCUUGUUGGGGUUGUAGGACACUCUAUACGGAGUUACAAAGGACGACAUUAGACGAAUCAUCUGGAAAGAUGAAUCAAAGAAGGUAAUAAUCCUGUAGUCGAAAAUGUUGUCUCUCUUGAGUGGAUCCUGAGUACGACGGAGCACGUGAAAUUCCGUCGGAAUCUGGGAGGACCAUCUCCUAAGGCUAAAUACUCUCUAGUGACCGAUAGUGAACCAGUACCGUGAGGGAAAGGUGAAAAGCACCCCGGAAGGGGAGUGAAAUAGAACCUGAAACCGUGUGCUUACAAGUAGUCAGAGCCCGUUAAUGGGUGAUGGCGUGCCUUUUGUAGAAUGAACCGGCGAGUUACGAUUUGAUGCAAGGUUAAGCAGUAAAUGUGGAGCCGUAGCGAAAGCGAGUCUGAAUAGGGCGUUUAGUAUUUGGUCGUAGACCCGAAACCAGGUGAUCUACCCUUGGUCAGGUUGAAGUUCAGGUAACACUGAAUGGAGGACCGAACCGACUUACGUUGAAAAGUGAGCGGAUGAACUGAGGGUAGCGGAGAAAUUUCAAUCGAACCUGGAGAUAGCUGGUUCUCUCCGAAAUAGCUUUAGGGCUAGCCUCAAGUGAUGAUUAUUGGAGGUAGAGCACUGUUUGGACGAGGGGCCCCUCUCGGGUUACCGAAUUCAGACAAACUCCGAAUGCCAAUUAAUUUAACUUGGGAGUCAGAACAUGGGUGAUAAGGUCCGUGUUCGAAAGGGAAACAGCCCAGACCACCAGCUAAGGUCCCAAAAUAUAUGUUAAGUGGAAAAGGAUGUGGCGUUGCCCAGACAACUAGGAUGUUGGCUUAGAAGCAGCCAUCAUUUAAAGAGUGCGUAAUAGCUCACUAGUCGAGUGACACUGCGCCGAAAAUGUACCGGGGCUAAACAUAUUACCGAAGCUGUGGAUUGUCCUUUGGACAAUGGUAGGAGAGCGUUCUAAGGGCGUUGAAGCAUGAUCGUAAGGACAUGUGGAGCGCUUAGAAGUGAGAAUGCCGGUGUGAGUAGCGAAAGACGGGUGAGAAUCCCGUCCACCGAUUGACUAAGGUUUCCAGAGGAAGGCUCGUCCGCUCUGGGUUAGUCGGGUCCUAAGCUGAGGCCGACAGGCGUAGGCGAUGGAUAACAGGUUGAUAUUCCUGUACCACCUAUAAUCGUUUUAAUCGAUGGGGGGACGCAGUAGGAUAGGCGAAGCGUGCGAUUGGAUUGCACGUCUAAGCAGUAAGGCUGAGUAUUAGGCAAAUCCGGUACUCGUUAAGGCUGAGCUGUGAUGGGGAGAAGACAUUGUGUCUUCGAGUCGUUGAUUUCACACUGCCGAGAAAAGCCUCUAGAUAGAAAAUAGGUGCCCGUACCGCAAACCGACACAGGUAGUCAAGAUGAGAAUUCUAAGGUGAGCGAGCGAACUCUCGUUAAGGAACUCGGCAAAAUGACCCCGUAACUUCGGGAGAAGGGGUGCUCUUUAGGGUUAACGCCCAGAAGAGCCGCAGUGAAUAGGCCCAAGCGACUGUUUAUCAAAAACACAGGUCUCUGCUAAACCGUAAGGUGAUGUAUAGGGGCUGACGCCUGCCCGGUGCUGGAAGGUUAAGAGGAGUGGUUAGCUUCUGCGAAGCUACGAAUCGAAGCCCCAGUAAACGGCGGGCGGAACUAUAAAGGUCCUAAGGUAGCGAAAUUCCUUGUCGGGUAAGUUCCGACCCGCACGAAAGGCGUAACGAUUUGGGCACUGUCUCAACGAGAGACUCGGUGAAAUCAUAGUACCUGUGAAGAUGCAGGUUACCCGCGACAGGACGGAAAGACCCCGUGGAGCUUUACUGUAGCCUGAUAUUGAAAUUCGGCACAGCUUGUACAGGAUAGGUAGGAGCCUUUGAAACGUGAGCGCUAGCUUACGUGGAGGCGCUGGUGGGAUACUACCCUAGCUGUGUUGGCUUUCUAACCCGCACCACUUAUCGUGGUGGGAGACAGUGUCAGGCGGGCAGUUUGACUGGGGCGGUCGCCUCCUAAAAGGUAACGGAGGCGCUCAAAGGUUCCCUCAGAAUGGUUGGAAAUCAUUCAUAGAGUGUAAAGGCAUAAGGGAGCUUGACUGCGAGACCUACAAGUCGAGCAGGGUCGAAAGACGGACUUAGUGAUCCGGUGGUUCCGCAUGGAAGGGCCAUCGCUCAACGGAUAAAAGCUACCCCGGGGAUAACAGGCUUAUCUCCCCCAAGAGUUCACAUCGACGGGGAGGUUUGGCACCUCGAUGUCGGCUCAUCGCAUCCUGGGGCUGUAGUCGGUCCCAAGGGUUGGGCUGUUCGCCCAUUAAAGCGGUACGCGAGCUGGGUUCAGAACGUCGUGAGACAGUUCGGUCCCUAUCCGUCGUGGGCGUAGGAAAUUUGAGAGGAGCUGUCCUUAGUACGAGAGGACCGGGAUGGACAUACCUCUGGUGUACCAGUUGUCGUGCCAACGGCAUAGCUGGGUAGCUAUGUGUGGACGGGAUAAGUGCUGAAAGCAUCUAAGCAUGAAGCCCCCCUCAAGAUGAGAUUUCCCAACUUCGGUUAUAAGAUCCCUCAAAGAUGAUGAGGUUAAUAGGUUCGAGGUGGAAGCAUGGUGACAUGUGGAGCUGACGAAUACUAAUCGAUCGAAGACUUAAUCAA